rnacentral:rRNA from 1 species
UAACACAUGCAAGUCGAACGCGAAAGUCCCGCAAGGGAUGAGUAGAGUGGCAAACGGGUGAGUAACACGUGGGUGACCUGCCUUCGAGUGGGGGAUAACGUCCCGAAAGGGACGCUAAUACCGCAUGACAUCCUGCCUUUGAAGAGGUGGAGAUCAAAGCUGGGGAUCGCAAGACCUAGCGCUCAAAGAGGGGCCCGCGCCUGAUUAGCUAGUUGGCGAGGUAACGGCUCACCAAGGCAACGAUCAGUAUCCGGCCUGAGAGGGCGGACGGACACACUGGGACUGAGACACGGCCCAGACUCCUACGGGAGGCAGCAGUGGGGAAUUGUUCGCAAUGGGCGCAAGCCUGACGACGCAACGCCGCGUGGAGGAUGAAGACCUUCGGGUCGUAAACUCCUUUCGAUCGAGACGAAUGGCCUCCGGGUGAACAGCCCGGAGGAGUGACGGUACCGAGAGAAGAAGCCCCGGCUAACUCCGUGCCAGCAGCCGCGGUAAUACGGGGGGGGCAAGCGUUGUUCGGAAUUACUGGGCGUAAAGGGCUCGUAGGUGGCCAACUAAGUCAGACGUGAAAUCCCUCGGCUUAACCGGGGAACUGCGUCUGAUACUGGAUGGCUUGAGUUUGGGAGAGGGAUGCGGAAUUCCAGGUGUAGCGGUGAAAUGUGUAGAUAUCUGGAGGAACACCGGUGGCGAAGGCGGCAUCCUGGACCAACACUGACACUGAGGAGCGAAAGCCA